rnacentral:rRNA from 1 species
AUUGAACGCUGGCAGCAGGCCUAACACAUGCAAGUCGAACGGAUCCUUCGGGAUUAGUGGCGGACGGGUGAGUAACACGUGGGAACGUGCCCUUUGGUUCGGAACAACUCAGGGAAACUUGAGCUAAUACCGGAUGUGCCCUUCGGGGGAAAGAUUUAUCGCCAUUGGAGCGGCCCGCGUCUGAUUAGCUAGUUGGUGAGGUAAAGGCUCACCAAGGCGACGAUCAGUAGCUGGUCUGAGAGGAUGAUCAGCCACAUUGGGACUGAGACACGGCCCAAACUCCUACGGGAGGCAGCAGUGGGGAAUCUUGCGCAAUGGGCGAAAGCCUGACGCAGCCAUGCCACGUGAAUGAUGAAGGUCUUAGGAUUGUAAAAUUCUUUCACCGGGGACGAUAAUGAUGGUACCCGGAGAAGAAGCCCCGGCUAACCUCGUGCCAGCCGCCGCCGUAACAC